GACGACGCUGGCGGCGUGGAUUAGGCAUGCAAGUCGAACGGUAUCAUCCUUCGGGGGUGAGAGAGUGGCGAACUGGUGAGUAACACGUAGGUUAUCUACCCUCAAGACGGGGACAACCCAGGGAAACUUGGGCUAAUACCGGAUGUGAGCAACUUUUAGUUGUCUGAAAGGUGGCGUAAGCUGUCGCUUGGGGAUGAGCCUGCGUCCUAUUAGUUAGUUGGUGAGGUAACGGCUCACCUAGGCAAUGAUAGGUAGGCGGCCUUAACGGGUGGUCGCCCACACUGGGAUUGAGAUACGGCCCGGACUCCUACGGGAGGCAGCAGUCGAGAAUAGUCUACAAUGGUCGGAAGACUGAUAGUGCGACGCCGCGUGAACGAUGAAUCCCUUCGGGGUGUAAAGUUCUUUUAUAUGUGAGCAGUGCUUCUUAUAUUAACAGUAUGGGGAGAGAGAUAUUAGCAUAUGAAUAAGCAACGGCUAACUCCGUG
rnacentral:rRNA from 1 species